rnacentral:tRNA from 1 species
UGCCGGUGUGGCGGAAUUGGCAGACGCGCGGGACUCAAAAUCCCGUGCCCGUUGAGGGCGUAUCGGUUCGACCCCGAUCACCGGUAU